GUGGGGAAUAUUGGGCAAUGGGGGAAACCCUGACCCAGCGACGCCGCGUGAGGGAAGAAGGCCUUAGGGUCGUAAACCUCUGUUGUGUGGGAAGAAGAGCGUGACGGUACCACACGAGGAAGUCCCGGCUAACUACGUGCCAGCAGCCGCGGUAAUACGUAGGGGACGAGCGUUGUCCGGAUUUACUGGGCGUAAAGGGCGCGUAGGCGGUCAGUUAAGUCAGUGGUGAAAUGGUGCGGCUUAACCGCAUCAUGCUGUUGAAACUGGAUGACUGGAGUGCUGGAGAGGCAAGUGGAAUUCCCAGUGUAGCGGUGAAAUGCGUAGAUAUUGGGAAGAACACCGGUGGCGAAGGCGACUUGCUGGCCAGCAACUGACGCUGAGGCGCGAAAGCCAGGGGAGCAAACGGGAUUAGAAACCCGUGUAGUCC
rnacentral:rRNA from 1 species